rnacentral:rRNA from 1 species
AUUGAACGCUGGCGGCAUGCUUUACACAUGCAAGUCGAACGGCAGCGCGGGCUUCGGCCUGGCGGCGAGUGGCGAACGGGUGAGUAAUACAUCGGAACGUGCCCAGUAGUGGGGGAUAGCUCGGCGAAAGCCGGAUUAAUACCGCAUACGACCUGAGGGUGAAAGCGGGGGAUCUUCGGACCUCGCGCUAUUUGAGCGGCCGAUGGCAGAUUAGCUAGUUGGUGGGGUAAAGGCCUACCAAGGCGACGAUCUGUAGCUGGUCUGAGAGGACGACCAGCCACACUGGGACUGAGACACGGCCCAGACUCCUACGGGAGGCAGCAGUGGGGAAUGUUGGACAAUGGGCGAAAGCCUGAUCCAGCAAUGCCGCGUGUGUGAUGAAGGCCUUCGGGUUGUAAAGCACUUUUGGCGGGAACGAAAAGGACUGUGCCAAUACCACGGUUCGAUGACGGUACCCGCAGAAUAAGCACCGGCUAACUACGUG